rnacentral:tRNA from 1 species
UUUUUAUUAAUAUAAGUUAGUAUAUUUAAUUUCCAAUUAAAAAGUUCAAUUGAAUAAAAAU